CCCCUUGAUCCCCCGCGCCGUGCCGCCUAUAUCUGUCUCGUUCCCACUCGUGGGGACUAUGGACAUAAACGCGCUCGUAAUAAGCGGAUCGGACCCGGGGGCGGUACCCGGCGGCUCCACCAAACCACCCUCGUUGGGGGAGAAUGGGGCCGAAAUAGGAUCGACGAACGUCUAAAGGGGUAAGCUUUGUCCCGGUGAGCUACCACCGUCAUCGGUGCGAUUUGUACAGUUGCCAACGACAACCGUGCUCCGGUCGCUCUUGCUGCGUAAGCAGUUCGAGAGAUCGAAACCUAACUCCUUGCGCUUAGCCGCGUAAGGCGGGGCCCGCAGGAGCCUUGCAACAGAAUCCUGCACC
rnacentral:tmRNA from 1 species